AUUUUGCUCUCUUCAGCAUUUCAAGCCUAUAAGCCAUUUUCUUCUCUGCCUAGAAGUCGUUUUCUUCUCUGCCUAGAAGUCGUUUUCUUCUCUGUCUAGAAGCCGAUUUCUUCUUUGCCUAGAAGCCGUUUUCUUCUCUACCUAGAAGUCGUUUUCUUCUCUGCUUAGAAGCCGUUUUUUCUGUUCCUCCCGAGUUUCUCCAUCGCUUGCAUCUCAAUCUCUGUGGCUUUUUGGAAUUUUGCCCUAAUUUUGGUCUCUCUUCAGCAUUUCAAGCCUAGAAGCCGUUUUCUUCUCUUCCUCCCGAGCACUUCCAUCGCUUGCAUCUCAAUCUCUGCGGCUCUUUCAUUUUUUCUCGCAUU
rnacentral:lncRNA from 1 species